CCUACGGGGUGCAGCAGUGAGGAAUAUUGGUCAAUGGACGAGAGUCUGAACCAGCCAAGUAGCGUGAAGGAUGACUGCCCUAUGGGUUGUAAACUUCUUUUAUAUGGGAAUAAAACGUUCCACGUGUGGGAUUUUGUAUGUACCAUAUGAAUAAGGAUCGGCUAACUCCGUGCCAGCAGCCGCGGUAAUACGGAGGAUCCGAGCGUUAUCCGGAUUUAUUGGGUUUAAAGGGAGCGUAGGUGGAUUGUUAAGUCAGUUGUGAAAGUUUGCGGCUCAACCGUAAAAUUGCAGUUGAAACUGGCAGUCUUGAGUACAGUAGAGGUGGGCGGAAUGCGUGGUGUAGUGGUGAAAUGCUUAGAUAUCACGAAGAACUCCGAUUGCGAAGGCAGUUCACUGGACUGCAACUGACACUGAGGCUCGAAAGUGUGGGUAUCAAACAGGAUUAGAUACCCUUGUAGUC
rnacentral:rRNA from 1 species